rnacentral:lncRNA from 10 species
GAGAGCUGCUGGUGUGGGGCAGGAGAAGCCAUAAGGCACUAAAAAUAACAGCACACCUCACAUCUAUCUGGAUGGCUGUUAUCAAAAGAACAGAAAGUAAUGCUGUGAAUCCUGACUAAUGCAUCUUCCAAAAGAAUCUACAGAACAGCUGGGGAGCAUGAGUCUAAGGUCUGUAGGCUCCAGAUGAAAGAUCCUGUCGCUGAUGCUGGGCCAGCCUACAAGCACCCCCCAGACAGGCUGUCACAGAACAGUAGGGCUGACGAACCACGUUCAGUUGCUUGAAUCCCAUCAUUUAGUACAUCAGUUCCAAACACACAGCAAGAAACAAAGGGAGAGAUCUGCAGUUGGUUGACACUGCAGGAUCUGGUGCCUUCAGGGUGGAAGGACCACAGCCCUGGGUCCUGGGCUAUGCAAUGUUCACAAUCCGUCUCUGUCUGCCCAUCAGUCUCCCCUGCUAACAGUGUGGUUACCAGGACCAGUCAAAUAGUCAAACAAGGAGGCUUAGCAGAUGGAAGCUGCCCAGAAACUGCACAUCCUUGUCCUACCAAAGAAACA